rnacentral:sRNA from 1 species
AGAAAAAAGAGUGCCGGCGGGACCACCGCCCACCGUGUGCUCAGGAGGCGCCCCGCAACAUGGUGCACCCCAAUGUGAUCUGUGAUGGCUGCAAUGGGCCUGUGGUGGGAACCCGCUACAAGUGCAGCGUCUGCCCAGACUACGACUUGUGUAGCGUCUGCGAGGGAAAGGGCUUGCACCGGGGGCACACCAAGCUCGCGUUCCCCAGCCCCUUCGGGCACCUGUCUGAGGGCUUCUCGCACAGCCGCUGGCUCCGGAAGGUGAAACACGGACACUUCGGGUGGCCAGGAUGGGAAAUGGGUCCACCAGGAAACUGGAGCCCACGUCCUCCUCGUGCAGGGGAGGCCCGCCCUGGCCCCACGGCGGAAUCAGCUUCUGGUCCAUCGGAGGAUCCCAGUGUGAAUUUCCUGAAGAACGUUGGGGAGAGUGUGGCAGCUGCCCUUAGCCCUCUGGGCAUUGAAGUUGAUAUCGAUGUGGAGCACGGAGGGAAAAGAAGCCGCCUGACCCCCGUCUCUCCAGAGAGUUCCAGCACAGAGGAGAAGAGCAGCUCACAGCCAAGCAGCUGCUGCUCUGACCCCAGCAAGCCGGGUGGGAAUGUUGAGGGCGCCACGCAGUCUCUGGCAGAGCAGAUGAGAAAGAUCGCCUUGGAGUCCGAGGGGCGCCCUGAGGCAAGCCUGUGCCCCUCCCGCCACCUGGGACCACGGCCAGCCUAGUGAUCUGUGGCCUGCACCUCCGCUUCAUCCUCAGCACCUGUGCAGCCCCACUUACAAAACCCGAGGGAGCUGCUGCUGCUGCAGUGAUGUCUGUGC